GAUGUUAUGUGGUAAGAUAAAGUAAAACCUAAUAAGUUCCUAGCUCAUUAUUUAUGAUAAAGGAAAACCUGAGGAGUUUCUUUAUAAGCCGAGCACAUUUGUUAUUUAUGAAAAGAUGUCAUAAGGAACAUCUAUAUGUGCUGACCAAAUUCGUUAUAGGAAAUCACUGGUGACAAAUCCAUCUUAUGUGAAUUGUUUAUAAUGUGUAAACUCAUGUGACUGAUGCAUUGUAUUUGCAUAAACUAAAUAAUAUGAUAAAUUUUUUAGUUGGUUUACUCACUCAGCUUCCUUAAGCUUACCCCUUUCCCUUAACCCUACUUGAGGCCUUGUAGGAUUAGAG
rnacentral:misc_RNA from 1 species